GUGCUUGCUUCAGUAGCAUAUAUACUAAAACUGUAACUAUACAGAGAUUAGCAUGGUCUCUGUGCAAGGAUGACAAGCAAAUUGGUGAAGCAUUCCUUAUUUUU
rnacentral:snRNA from 1 species